GACGAACGCUGGCGGCGCGCUUAACACAUGCAAGUCGAACGGAAAGGCCUGCUUUCCCUUGUGGAUUGCGGGUACUCGAGUGGCGAACGGGUGAGUAACACGUGAGUGAUCUGCCCCCAACUUGGGUAUAAGCCUGGGAAACUGGGUCUAAUUCCCGAUAGGACUGCAGGGUGGUGCCUGUGGUGGAAAACGAUUUUCUAGUGGUUGGGGAUGAGCUCGCGGCCUAUCAGCUUGUUGGUGGGGUAAUGGCCUACCAAGGCGGCGACGGGUAGCCGGCCUGAGAGGGUGGACGGCCACAUUGGGACUGAGAUACGGCCCAGACUCCUACGGGAGGCAGCAGUGGGGAAUAUUGCACAAUGGGCGGAAGCCUGAUGCAGCGACGCGGCGUGGGGGAUGACGGCCUUCGGGUUGUAAACUCCUUUCGACCGAGAGGAAGCCACCUGGUUGGAAGGGUGGUGACGGUAGUGGUAGAAGAAGCACCGGCUAACUACGUG
rnacentral:rRNA from 1 species